CUUCCUGGCUCGGGGCGGGGUGUCUCUCUGCGCCCGGCUCCGCUCAAGUGUCCCGACUGGGAUCAGUCGCUAAGGCCGAUGGCAGGGCAGGAAAGAUCACUAGAUGCAGGCAGGGUCCGGGGGCAGAGGCCCCUGUACUGGGGCCAGUCUCAGUGAAUGACUUUUCCCCCGGUAUCCAGGAGUUUUAAAUUACAAGAGAUAGACAACUACAAUGAUUUAAGAAAAGAAAAUUAAAAGAUUUAAGAGAUAAAGUUGGCUCCAAAUCGCUUGGGUCCAGGGACUAAAACUCUGUGUGUCUCUCUUUCAUCUCUCUCUCUCUCCCUGAGCUUUGCCUUCCUGUGCUGGCUUCAUUCCUGGGUAACACUCUCCCGGGGUGACUGGCAGCAGCUCCAGGCUCCAUCAUCUUUACUGCCGACCCAGCAAUCUCCUUUCCUGUAGCUCCAGCCCAAGCCUGGGCCCUGGCUCUUCCUGGACUCAAUUGGGUCAGGGGACCAUCCCUGAGCCAAUCGCUGGCACUGGGAGGCUGUGGCAUUUCAAUUGGCCAGGCUUGUAUCAAGCACCUAGGGGUGGAGUUGCCCUGUCCUCACCGCAGGGAAGCAAAGCCUCCAAGUGCCAUUGUGUCUCCUGGGCUGGGCAAGCGCAUUUCAUCUCCUCUGCACCAAAAACAGCCUGAGGACUUGUGAACUGGUCUGGAAGUCGAGAGCUCUUUUUUGAUUUCAUCAUUAAAUUGCUUUGCAAAAAGGGA